UACAGAGGGUGCGAGCGUUAAUCGGAAUUACUGGGCGUAAAGCGCGCGUAGGCGGCUUUGCAAGUCGGGUGUGAAAAUCCCCAGGCUUAACCUGGGAACUGCAUUCGAGACUGCAUUGCUAGAGUAUGGGAGAGGGAAGUGGAAUUCCGGUGUAGCGGUGAAAUGCGUAGAUAUCGGAAGGAACAUCAGUGGCGAAAGCGACUUCCUGGACCAAUACUGACGCUCAUGUGCGAAAGCGUGGGGAGCAAACAGG
rnacentral:rRNA from 1 species